rnacentral:rRNA from 1 species
AUUGAACGCUGGCGGCAGGCUUAACACAUGCAAGUCGAGCGGAGCGAGGGUGCUUGCACCUUAGCUUAGCGGCGGACGGGUGAGUAAUGCUUAGGAAUCUGCCUAUUAGUGGGGGACAACAUUCCGAAAGGGAUGCUAAUACCGCAUACGCCCUACGGGGGAAAGCAGGGGAUCUUCGGACCUUGCGCUAAUAGAUGAGCCUAAGUCGGAUUAGCUAGUUGGUGGGGUAAAGGCCUACCAAGGCGACGAUCUGUAGCGGGUCUGAGAGGAUGACCCGCCACACUGGGACUGAAACACGGCCCAGACUCCUACGGGAGGCAGCAGUGGGGAAUAUUGGACAAUGGGCGGAAGCCUGAUCCAGCCAUGCCGCGUGUGUGAAGAAGGCCUUUUGGUUGUAAAGCACUUUAAGCGAGGAGGAGGCUCUUAAGGUUAAUACCCUUGAUGAGUGGACGUUACUCGCAGAAUAAGCACCGGCUAACUCUGUGCCAGCCGCCGCGGUAAGAC